rnacentral:lncRNA from 1 species
AUUCUCAUGUCCCCAAAUAGGAAAUUGAUUAAUGGUGGUAGGCUCCCAUAGUCCCAGCUACUCAGGAGGCUGAGGCAGGAGAAUGGCAUGAACCCGGGAGAUGGAGCUUGUAGUGAGCCCCCAUCGCGCCACUGCACUCCAACCUGGGCGACAGAGUGAGACACUGUCUCAAAAAAAAAAAAAAAAGAGUUUUUGCAGAGUGUAACCUCCAGACUCCCACUCUCUCCUCCAGUUCCCCAAAGGUAACUGUCUUGGAGGUUGGUGGGUGGGGCUGAAAGUUCCAGUCCUCUAGUCACUGUUCUUCUGGUGCCAUAGAGCGUUUGUUCUCCAACCAAAUAGCUGGGGAGCUUCAAAACACUGAUGUCCACUUCUGACCCUGAGGUCUGGCUCUGGGUGUGACCUUUGAAUUGGGAAGUUUAAAA